rnacentral:rRNA from 1 species
AGUGAACGCUGGCGGUAGGCCUAACACAUGCAGGUCGAACGGCAGCACAGAGGAGCUUGCUCCUUGGGUGGCGAGUGGCGGACGGGUGAGGAAUACAUCGGAAUCUACGCUGUCGUGGGGGAUAACGUAGGGAAACUUACGCUAAUACCGCAUACGACCUACGGGUGAAAGCAGGGGAUCUUCGGACCUUGCGCGAUUGAAUGAGCCGAUGUCGGAUUAGCUAGUUGGCGGGGUAAAGGCCCACCAAGGCGACGAUCCGUAGCUGGUCUGAGAGGGUGAUCAACCAGACUGGAAGUGAGACACGGUCCAGACUCCUACGGGAGGCAGCAGUGGGGAAUAUUGGACAAUGGGCGGAAGCCUGAUCCAGCCAUACCGCGUGGGUGAAGAAGGCCUUCGGGUUGUAAAGCCCUUUUGUUGGGAAAGAAAUCCAUCUGGUUAAUACCCGGAUGGGAUGACGGUACCCAAAGAAUAAGCACCGGCUAACUUCGUGCCAGCCGCCGCCGUAA